UACGUAGGGUGCGAGCGUUGUCCGGAAUUAUUGGGCGUAAAGGGCUCGUAGGCGGUUUGUCGCGUCGGGGGUGAAAACCAUGGGCUUAACUCAUGGCUUGCUUCCGAUACGGGCAGACUAGAGGCAUGCAGGGGAGAACGGAAUUCCUGGUGUAGCGGUGAAAUGCGCAGAUAUCAGGAGGAACACCGGUGGCGAAGGCGGUUCUCUGGGCAUGUCCUGACGCUGAGGAGCGAAAGUGUGGGGGGCGAACAGG
rnacentral:rRNA from 1 species